rnacentral:misc_RNA from 1 species
UUAGACUAUAUUUUAGAUUCAGACACAGACUUUAAAGCAUAAAGGCGGCGCCAAAGCGCCGAAACACACUUUACCUCCACGGAGUUUGAAGGGUCGAAGGUCAUAAAUGGCCAUUCAUUAAUGAUCCCUCCGCAGGUUCACCUACGGAGA